rnacentral:rRNA from 1 species
AACGAACGCUGGCGGCAGGCUUAACACAUGCAAGUCGAACGCCCCGCAAGGGGAGUGGCAGACGGGUGAGUAACGCGUGGGAAUCUACCCAUCCAUACGGAAUAACGCAUGGAAACGUGUGCUAAUACCGUAUACGCCCUACGGGGGAAAGAUUUAUCGGGGAUGGAUGAGCCCGCGUUGGAUUAGCUAGUUGGUGGGGUAAAGGCCUACCAAGGCGACGAUCCAUAGCUGGUCUGAGAGGAUGAUCAGCCACAUUGGGACUGAGACACGGCCCAAACUCCUACGGGAGGCAGCAGUGGGGAAUAUUGGACAAUGGGCGCAAGCCUGAUCCAGCCAUGCCGCGUGAGUGAUGAAGGCCUUAGGGUUGUAAAGCUCUUUCACCGGAGAAGAUAAUGACGGUAUCCGGAGAAGAAGCCCCGGCUAACUUCGUG